rnacentral:rRNA from 1 species
CCUACGGGAGGCUGCAGUGGGGAAUAUUGGACAAUGGGGGGAACCCUGAUCCAGCCAUGCCGCGUGUGUGAAGAAGGCCCUCGGGUUGUAAAGCACUUUCAGUGAGGAAGAACGCCUGGUGGUUAAUACCCAUCAGGAAAGACAUCACUCACAGAAGAAGCACCGGCUAACUCCGUGCCAGCAGCCGCGGUAAUACGGAGGGUGCGAGCGUUAAUCGGAAUUACUGGGCGUAAAGCGCGCGUAGGUGGCUUGAUAAGCCGGUUGUGAAAGCCCCGGGCUCAACCUGGGAACGGCAUCCGGAACUGUCAAGCUAGAGUGCAGGAGAGGAAGGUAGAAUUCCCAGUGUAGCGGUGAAAUGCGUAGAGAUCGGGAGGAAUACCAGUGGCGAAGGCGGCCUUCUGGACUGACACUGACACUGAGGUGCGAAAGCGUGGGUAGCAAACAGGAUUAGAUACCCCAGUAGUC